CGUCGCACAGCAGCGCAGUCGCUUCUUUUAUUUCUUAUUAUAUAUUUUAUUCAAGCAGCAGUUGAUCAAUGCUCUUAAAAUUGUGCUAUCAUCUUUAGAGACUGAUUUACAUCCACACAUCUGCAUCCGGGAGGCUCUGGAAUUAAAUAGUCAUGACUGAGAGAGUGUUUGUGUUUGUUGAUGAAGAGGAGCUGUUCAGUGUGAUGAAGGAUGCUGACUGUCUCUACUGCAGGAAUCCAGUCACUGCGUCCAAACAUCACCUCAGAAAGAGACAUCUCAGAUUCGCUAUAUAUUAUAAAGACUCUGCCAUUGGGAAGUUUUCUAUCCCCUGUUAUUGCUCUGAUGGAGGCCAUGGCAGGAGCCACUGGCACUGCCCAAUGUGCGCAAAAAUAUUGCAAAGAACAAAGGAUUUCAAAAUCCAUAUUACCAACCACGGUGUUGAGAUGACAGACAAAUCCACAGCUCACCUCUGCAAGACAACGGGUCUCCAGGAGCAAGGUUAAAGACCUCGGACAGGGGUGUCCAAUCCUGCUCUUGGAUCUUGCAGACUUUAGCUCCAUCCGUCUCCAGCACACUUGAAUGGAAGUUUCUAGCACAUUCUGAAGACCUGGGCUGUGUUGCCCCCAUCCCCUUAUUUAGGGCACUAUUUGAGAGAACAGCCAUUUGAAGUGUUGUCCGAAAAUACUCAUUCAAUACCAUAAUGCACCUCGGUAAUGAGUCUACAACCGAUGAACUCUCAGCGGCUAGAGAAUACCCAUAAUGCACUGUAAGGGUCAUGCUGAAUGAACUCCCAUGUCUCGUCAGAAGAUGGCGCCUGCAGUUGAAUCAUCAGUCCAUUCUUUUUCCAAACCGCUGGUCCAAUGUGGUUACAGAGUACUAUCAUACAGUUGAGCUACAACCUACAAUGGUCCUGUCGGAGAACCAACAAACAGACAACGAAGACAAGACACCGGGCAACAAGUCAGCGUGCCAGAAGUGUGGCAUCUUCUUUACCACCACAUCAAAUUUGAGACGGCAUGAGAGACUACAGCACGGCCAAGACCAGCAGCCCAUGUUAUGCGUAGAUGCCAAAAAUGCAAUCUAUGUUACACCCAAGGAUCUGCACGGACCUAGAGUGCCCAUUCAUAUCCGUAAAUCCUUCACCUUGCAGAUUCUGCUGUGUGAACUGGAGGAAUGCUGGGAUUUCAUGAAAGCGCUGGCCCAGAGCGGGAAUCCUGGGAAGGAAUGCCGUCACCUCGUGAGAACGAAUCACGCGCAGCACUACGUCCCUCCUCCACCGCUGAGCAUCAGCUCUCUGGAGGAGAUGAGCCACAAACACCUCCUGUCCGCAUCUGAGAAACACGCGUGCCAGGAGAUGAACUCCAGGGCAUGUUUAGAGGGAGUCGAUUGUGUCUACCCUAUUUUUUGGGGGAAGCAUGACCUUUCAGAGAGAUGUGUCUACUUUUCUGUGUACACUGACCUCAAGGACAAAUGGUGUCAGUUUGGGAGGACACGCGUCUCGUUUGACACCAAGUCUGGCAGCUGGAAGUGUCUGUGUGAACACAAAAGAAUCCCUUGCAUCCACAAGCGUUUAUCUAUGUGGUGGUUGUUUCAGGAGCAUCCCAAAUUGUUGCAGAACCCCCUGGAUGUCCACGCUGAAAGAGUCGACGUGCUUGAGGAAGUGGUCAUGGAUAAAAUGUCUCCUGAUGGUGAUGACCUCUGCUAGCCUCAACAUCCCUCUCAUGUUCUGUCUUCACCCAAUAAAAACACUUGCCAUACACUUGAUUUUGCCUUGUAAUUUCUUAGUUGAUUUGCAAAAAUUCAUGUGCUGUGCUAUGUUUACAGUGU
ensembl:lncRNA